GAUUUCUGGUUGGAUGUGUUUAGCCCGCCAUGGUUUCAUGUGUGAGUGCUGAUACUCAUCUCCCAUCCUUCUAGACAGCCCCUCCUCUCUUCAUUGAGGUGGAGUGGAAUUCUAGAUCUUUUACUUUGAAAAAAUUAGAGUGUUUCAAGCAGGCAAUUUGCUAUGAAUACAUUAGCAUGGAAUAAUAAUCUAGGACUUCGGUUCUAUUUUGUUGGUUUCUAUAACUGAAGUAAUGAUUGAUAGGGAUAGUUGGGGGUGCUAGUAUUGGCCGGUCAGAGGUGAAAUUCUUGGAUUCGGUCAAGACUAACUUAUGCGAAAGCAUU
rnacentral:rRNA from 1 species